UCUUCACUUCCACCGCUUUGACCAACAUUUAGUGCUGGCCAUCUAGAAAUUCUUGCCUUUUUUACUUUCCCCCACGCGGCUCUCUCGCCUUUUCUUCUUCCACCACAUGCGCCGCCCCACCUUCCGGCGCCGGAUUGCCGCUCGCCGCCGCAGCCCGUACCGGCGCGAUUCUCUCUCCGUGGCCGCGUCCCCUUCUCCAUCCUGGACCUCCCGCCAACCUCGAGAGGCUCACCUGCCGGCAACGCGUCAAGGACGGCGAGGCUCCGGCGAUGCUGUACAGGUUGGGGUUGGGCCGACCCUCUAUUUGGUGACCUGGGCGACGGGCCGGCGACACCCUGGCGAGGAUGGACGGCUGAUGUAUAGCAUCGCUCAGGCCAUCCCGCAUCUGCCUCCGCUCGCGGAAGAUGGCGGGCGGCCGCCGCGCGCGGGAGAUGGGCCACGCCCUGAACCGGACGUGCGGCGCCGACGACCCGGCGGCGUUCCGAGCCUUCGCUGAUGGUCUGUACGGAAAAGUCACUGGUCCGCUCUCAUGGAGGGCCGAUGGCGGCAGGUCGUGCUACGCCUGGACGGGCAUCUCCUAUGACCUCGGGAGGGUGGUGUGGCUGGAUAUCUCCAACCAGAGCCUCAACGACAUCAUCGCCUCCCGCUGCCGGCGCUCAACCUCUCCCAGAAAGUGUUGUGCGGGCCGUCGUCGAGGCGGCCAACUUCUUGUGCAUCUUCUCCGGUUCCAUGGCAGCCUCGUGGGCUUCAAGAUUUCAUUGUUUUGCCGACUUCUCAAAAUGGUGAUCCUGCUGAUGGUACACGGCCAAGGCGAGCCCGACCUUCUGGUCGUGAGCGAGGAUGGGGAAGACCGCGAUUGGCUGUUGUGCCUUUGUUUUCUGUUUCAUCUGCGGCUGCAAUGUCUGCGUGUAUGCCUGGUUCUCAGGCUGGUGGUGGUCAUUGCCGUCCUGUUCUGCUGGUCCCAGUUCUCUUUGAGCUCCAUCUGAUUCUGCCGAGGCACCAAAUUUGGUUGGAGAAGUGACCAAUUAUUGAUGUCUUCCAUGGUGGAGAAAUUGCAAGGAAGAAACAGAAGGUGCAGGACCUCCCAACAGAGUAAGCAAAAACAGAAAUCAGCGAAAGCGCAAAGAGGUGGAGUUGAGCUGCAAUGGUCCCAUACCUUACACUUGCUGAAUGAUCACCAGAGCAAGAUGGUUCUCUGUAAAUUCCAUGCAGGUAGUUUCUGUACUUGACAUAAACAUUAUAUUUUGGAAAAUUGCCAAUGCUUAUUAGAUGCCUGCUAUAGGUUGUUGUGAUUCAUUCUAAUCUUUCUCAGUACUAUUCUGAACCUGAACAGUUGGUGGAAUGUGUACCAUAGGCGGUUGAGGCUGUAUCCAAGGCUGUCAGUUGUGUGCCAAUUUUGAUACAUAGAAAUCUUCGAACUCCAACUCUAACCACAAAGUUAGCUACUAAGUUGUGUACUUCAGAUUCACGUCAAUCAUUUAUCUCCAGAGUUGAGAUCUGUUUAAUUUGGUUUGUUCACACCGUGUGUUAUUUCGUGUUAUUUGUUCCUCCGUAGGGCUUCACCCUAAAUAUUUUCAUUCGCUAAUCAUUCAAGCGGCUCUAGAAGGGUACAUAUAUGAGAUGUGUGUCCAAAUCGUGGACUUCAGUAAUUAAAUGAUACACCUGGUUUGUUUUACAACACCAUCAUAUUCUGGCGAAUUAUCAACCUUCUACAAGAGGCAAACAAUGGUAAUGCUUAUUUGAAUAAUUUCUCCCCAUAACAAAUGUUAUUUUGGCAAUAUUAAGGAAGCCAGUAGCAAAUAUGGUUGAUUUUUUCCUUGAAGAAAGUGUGGCAGCUGCUAUAAAUAGAUACUUAGUACCCAGCAUGAUAUUUAACUUAAUGAUUUCUUAGGGGGCUACUUAAUCCCAUGGAUUAUCCCUGAAACAGAGAAUGUGUACUGUUUUUGUUUAUCAUUGUGUCCUGCGCAACAGAACAUUACCAUGCGUAAAAAAUUUAGAUAUCAUGUACACUUCGUUUUUCUCAUUACUAGCCCAAGUUUGCAGCAUAUCCUGCAACUAUUAUUGUGUACAUCUUUUCCUUGGCAUAGAUAUGAAGCAUUCCAAAUCAAUAUCUGGACUCAAAUCACAUUGUCGACGUUCAUUUUUUUGUGUACGCCUAAUCAUGAAGCGAUGGACUAGCGAUCGUGCGUGAGAGGUACAGAGAGACACACCAAAGUAACAUCUAGGGGAGAAAGACCUCAUUGCAUCUGAUGGUUUCCUGCAAAUGACAGAAUGUUGCCGUGUAGAAAUAUUGCGAAUCAGUUGCAGGUGAAUGAUGGUUCGACCUUACCCAUUACUUGCACAAUUUCAGUGGAAAAUUUGAUUACCAUUCUGUAGAUUUACUACUGCAAAGUGAGAUCGCUAUUAGGGUACACAUGUGCACGUGUAUAUGAGCAUAUCUAACACUUCAUUCAAAAGGAUGCUUGAUGUUGCUCCAAAAUUAUAAAUCUAACAAUGCAAUUGGUAAGGAGAACAAGGUAUGCAUACAUAUUGAGCAAAGACCAUGUUUAGCUGAUUACUCAUACAUAUUGAUGUGUUACCCUAGACACGUUUUCAUAUUCGUAUUCAGGGGGGACGCGAAUCUAACAUUAUUUUCGUUAUUUUCAGAAAACUGGUCUCAAACUAUUGUAUGCAACCAGGUAGAAGGAUGAAGGCAGCAACUCAAUCUCGAAGCCUUCAUUUGGUCUCAGAAGCUUGUUGUCAUGAUCAGGUCAACUGACUCGUGCCUUCUAAAAGAUCACCAUUGGAAUCAGAUGGAGGAGGCCACAUAUGGACAGUGAAUUGUACAAGGGGAAAUGAAUCCUUGCUGGCGCUUGGGCAAUCUGGCUGCCAUACCCCGUUCAUGCCGCAUCAAUUCAAGCAGCUUCCAAUCAUAUUGCUAAGAGCGUGCAAGCCAUUGUAACAACAAAGUUUGUAACAGUAUGUAACCUGCUCAUAAUAGUGCUAAGAGCGUGCAAGCCAUCAUAAC